rnacentral:lncRNA from 1 species
UCUAACGGCAUGUCGUUGCGUUGCGUGUAUUUGGGCAGUGGCAAGUAAGUGCGCUUGCAAGCAGGGCCAGAGCGGCGGGGCAGUGCGUGCACAUCUACGAACAAGCUAACGGUAUGUUUGCGCAUGCGCAAUUCCUUCGGGGUGCAUGGAGCGGGUUGGAGGGGAGGAGUGCACGGUGCCGCAGGGGCAUUGCAGGCCCGUUCAGGUUCAGAGCACCUUGCAGGAUUCUUGCAGGAUUUCCGUCCUGACAAGUCGGCGGGUGCGACGUUUGGGCGCUGACGGGGGUUGUCGCGGGUAGCAAGGAGUUGUGGCAGCAAGCUGCUAAUCCACCACGGUAGACAAAACAAUCUGUCAAGAGAUUGCAUCGCGAGCCCUGCAGAAGUGUUUCUGUAGAUUCUCAGGUCUCUAGCAUAAUAGACAUCUGGACAUCAUAACUAAGAAAGAACUGCCAUCGAAGUCUAUGGAGAUUGCUUGACACGUGUCCCACAUCGUGACCCGGUUGCUUGGGUUGCAGGCAUACCUGCCAUAUGCCGCGUGCGAGGAAACCCGCAGAGGAAUGCGUGAAUUGCUUUGCUUGUAUGGUUCCAUAGGACCAUCGCGCCCCUUCCUGCGCGUGCGCUGUGUUCAAGGAGGGAGGGACCCCUCGAAGCAGAUUUCCUGCGACGUGCUUGGCCGCAGUGGGGAUAUGUGGAUGUGGGCAACGCAGAUUCUUUAACUUGUUCCAAGACCACGGUGCGAGAAUGAGGCAUUAAAAACGUUGGGAUGUUGAAUGAAACGCCCUUCCCGUCGGUGUGGCAGGCGGCCUCGCUGCCCAUAGAACACGCCAUGCUGUGUGACGCUGGGCUUUUUAUUACGGGUAUUAUUUGGCCUAUAUAUAACAUCCAAAUUCUCUUUGGGCCAGUUCAAGCCCGAGGAAGUACUUAUGCGAGCCCAGGAUGCUGAUGUUAUCUGCACUGAAUGGGCGAGCUCCUGGGGCCAUGGGCCCAGGCUCAGGAUGAGGCUGCAGGAUCUUGCGAUGACAGACUGCAAGAUUUUCCGCAGCUCGUGUGCAUGGGAAGAAACCAUGUAACGGUAGCUCCUACGGGUGCGUUGCUGUGUCGUAAGAUACCAAAGGUUAAGGAAUCGAAACAAUCCUGCCAAAUUUUCUCACCAAAAGUCUCCCAAGAUGCAUCGAGUCAGGAUUCCGCAAACGGCUGUUGCGC